GACGAACGCUGGCGGCGUGCCUAAUACAUGCAAGUCGAACGCUUCUUUCCUCCCGAGUGCUUGCACUCAAUUGGAAAGAGGAGUGGCGGACGGGUGAGUAACACGUGGGUAACCUACCCAUCAGAGGGGGAUAACACUUGGAAAUAGGUGCUAAUACCGCAUAACAGUUUAUGCCGCAUGGCAUAAGAGUGAAAGGCGCUUUCGGGUGUCGCUGAUGGAUGGACCCGCGGUGCAUUAGCUAGUUGGUGAGGUAACGGCUCACCAAGGCCACGAUGCAUAGCCGACCUGAGAGGGUGAUCGGCCACACUGGGACUGAGACACGGCCCAGACUCCUACGGGAGGCAGCAGUAGGGAAUCUUCGGCAAUGGACGAAAGUCUGACCGAGCAACGCCGCGUGAGUGAAGAAGGUUUUCGGAUCGUAAAACUCUGUUGUUAGAGAAGAACAAGGACGUUAGUAACUGAACGUCCCCUGACGGUAUCUAACCAGAAAGCCACGGCUAACUACGUG
rnacentral:rRNA from 1 species